GGAAGUUCCGGAGAGCCGCUGCGCGCAAACGCGACACGCCAACCUUGCGCCAGCGCGCCGCAAGUGCGCAGGCGCCGCCGCCGCUCUGCUGCUCUUCCUCGUCCCUCUGCCUACAUCAGGCUGUCGGGUCCUAUGUCGCGCCGGGCCCUCCGGAGGCUGAGGGGGGAACAGCGCGGCCAGGAACCCCUAGGGCCCGACGCAUUGCAGUUUGUCCUCCUUGAUGACGAUGACGCGGAGGAAGAGGGACCAAAACAAGGGUCGGGUGGCCGGCGCCCCGGGGGCGCAGGGAAGGAAGGAGUCCGUGUCAACAACCGGUUCGAGCUGAUAAACAUCGAAGACCUUGAGGAUGACCUUGUGGUAAACGGGGAGAGAUCUGACUGUACCCUGCCAGAUGCUGUGUCAUCAGGGAACAAAGGAAGGGCUCAACGUGGAAAACCAGAGACAAAGCAAGAUGAGGACGUGGCCAAGGCAGGGUCCCCAGAACAGUCUAAUGCAAGUGGCAAACUCCGAAAGAAGAAAAAGAAGCAGAAAAAUAAGAAAAACUGCACAGGAGACUCCUCGGAAAAUGGGCUAGAGGAUAUUGAUCGUAUCUUAGAGAGGAUCGAAGACAGCAGUGGGUUCAGCCACCCAGGCCCCCCUCCACUGAACUCCAGGAAGCAAGUCCUAUAUGUGGAGCACAGACACUUAAAUCCAGAUACAGAACUGAAAAGGUAUUUUGGUGCUCGAGCGGUCCUGGGAGAACAAAGGCCUCGACAAAGACAGCGUGUAUAUCCCAAGUGUACAUGGCUGACAACCCCUAAGAGCACUUGGCCCCGAUAUAGCAAACCAGGUCUGUCAAUGCGGCUGCUGGAAUCCAAGAAAGGCCUUUCUUUCUUUGCAUUUGAGCAUAGUGAGGAGUACCAGCAAGCACAGCACAAGUUCCUGGUGGCUGUGGAGUCUAUGGAGCCAAAUAACAUUGUGGUUCUGCUCCAGACAAGUCCCUAUCAUGUUGACUCACUUCUGCAGCUCAGUGAUGCCUGUCGCUUUCAGGAGGAUCAAGAGAUGGCUCGAGACCUUAUAGAGAGAGCACUGUACAGCAUGGAGUGUGCAUUCCACCCCUUGUUCAGUCUCACCAGUGGGACUUGCAGGCUGGAUUACCGCAGACCUGAGAACAGGAGCUUCUACCUGGCCCUCUACAAGCAGAUGAGUUUCUUGGAGAAGCGAGGAUGCCCACGUACUGCACUGGAGUACUGCAAGCUCAUCCUGAGCCUUGAGCCAGAUGAGGACCCCCUGUGCAUGCUGCUGCUUAUUGACCAUCUGGCCUUACGGGCCCGGAAUUAUGAGUACCUGAUCCGCCUCUUCCAGGAGUGGGAGGCACAUCGGAACCUGUCGCAACUCCCAAAUUUUGCCUUCUCGGUCCCAUUGGCAUAUUUCCUUCUGAGUCAGCAAACAGACUUACCUGAGCAUGAGCUCACCUCUGCCAGGCAACAAGCUUCCCUCCUGAUACAGCAGGCACUUACCAUGUUCCCUGGAGCUCUUAUGCCAUUGCUGGAGUAUUGCAGUGUGCGGCCUGAUGCAACAGUCUCAAACCACCGCUUCUUUGGGCCAGAUGCUGAGAUAAGCCAGCCCCCUGCCCUGAGCCAGCUGGUGAGUCUGUACCUUGGGAGGUCACACUUUCUUUGGAAAGAACCCGCCACUAUGAGCUGGCUGGAGGAAAACGUCCGCGAGGUUCUUCAAGCAGUGGAUGCUGGGGACUCUGCUGUGGAGGCCUGUGAGAAUAGGCGGAAGGUGUUGUACCAGCGUGCACCCAGAAACAUCCACCGCCAUGUGAUACUCUCUGAGAUCAAGGAGGCUGUUGCUGCCCUACCCUCGGAUGUAACUACACAGUCUGUGAUGGGAUUUGAUCCUCUGCCUCCCCUGGAUACCAUCUACUCGUACGUCAGACCAGAGAGACUGAGUCCAGUCAGCCAUGGAAACACAAUUGCCCUCUUCUUCCGGUCAUUAUUGCCAAAUUACACUACAGAGCAUGAAUUGGCAAGGCCAUGAAGUCUGGAUACAGGUUCUACUAUUUGUGCUCAUGGGUCAGCAGGGGCCUGGGGAGGGCAGGCCUGAGGGGCAUAGCCCCACACCAGUUGCCUCACCUGCUCCUGGGUUUGGUGGGAGAUCUACACCCAGUCCCAGGGAGGGGUACUGUUGAGAUGGUCCUAAUUCAAUGUCUGAAUCCAAGUUGGAGUGGCCUCUGCAGCUGUAAGUCGAUCCAGAUGAGGAUAUGGUAUCUGGAGCUGCAGCAACUAUUCUACAACCACGAGGCAAUGAACUCCAAAAUGAAGAGCCAGUGUACUAGGAACAGAGAAGCAGAGGAUGCCCUAGGCCUUCAGGAAACUUCCCACCUCCAGGCCUGUAUCCUGAGAGGCCAUUAAAUGAUCGGCUUCAGAAGUGUUGCUCAGACUUAAGUAAUUUUCAACUGAAUCCAUUUCAAAUGGUGAUAAAUAAAAACCAGUCAUUCACGUCAUCUGCAGAUCAUCAGGAAAAGUAACUUUUUGAGACAGAGUCUCAAUGUGUAGCCCUCGAUGGCCUAGAACUUGCUAUGUAGAUCAGGCUGGCCUCAGAGAUCCGCCUGCCUCCGCCUCCCAAAUGUUAGUUAAAAGCGUGCACCACCACACCUAAUCUGCAUGUCAUCUACAGCUUUAAAGUCUGCCCUGCCACCCAGGUGGGAGUGAUAGUGUAACCCACUCCUCCCUGGACCCAGUCUCAGCAAGAGGUGCCUGCCUGUGUGCUCCUGUGCAGAAUUGUUGGUUAUUUGUGUAUUUUCAUGUAGUCAGGGAGAAAACCUGUUUGCUGUCUCCCACAGAAAGUUCAGAGGAAAUGAAUGACUUUCAAACAAAGA